CUGGACUUAGGCGAGGUUCCAGCUCACAGUUCAGAGAAACAGAAGGUGGAGGUAGGGUGGCUGGACACAGGUACAGGCCGUGCCAUCCCCGGGGAGGACAAGAAAAAAGUAACAAAAAUAAUUUUUGGCUUCAAGCACCCAACAAUGGAAAUGCUGAAACCCAUGUCCUUUAAGUCCUUUUCUUCUCCUAGCAGAGGGCCCUCUGCCUACAUGGGGCACCGUGGUGGCCAUUUAAUGUACUCCUGCUUGGUACCCACCUCUGCUCUGCCCCCUGGUGGCCACAGACACCAUUGCUGCUGCCUCAGCACAGUUUGACCUUGUUGCUGCCAAGAGCCACCUCUCCUCUCAUCACUGUCCCCACUCUCCUGCCAUGCCUCAGGUGGCUGCUGGCAGAAGAGCAGUGGGCUUUGUUUCUUCAGAACAUCACAGCAACCACUGUCUUAUCAGCUCACACCCUCAGGAUCUUACUGCCCCUUUUCCCAAAAAUCUCCACUCCGGCAACCCUGGCCCUGCAUCAUUGAAGGACAUUUAAGUGAUAUAACAUAUUGUUGCCUCAAAAAAGUUUUUUCCCUCUUCAACAGCUGGGACAACUGGAUAACCACAUGCAAGAGAAUGAUGUUUGGCCACUAACCACACCAUACAUACAAAUUAACUCAAAAUGAAUCAAAGACUUAAAUGUAAGAGCUAAAACUUAGAACAAACAGGAGAAAAUCUUCACAACCAUGGAUUUGGCAAUGGAUUCUUAGAUAAGAUGCCAAAAGCACAAGCAACACAUGGAAAAAAAGAGAUACAUUAGACUUCAUCAAAAUUAAAAACUCUUUUGUGCAUCUAAGGACACUAUCAAGAAAAUAAAAAGAAAAACUACAGAAUGGGAGAAAACAUUUACAAACCAUAUACGAAAGGAUCUAAUAUCCAGAAUAUUUAAGAAGUCUAUGACUCCCCAACAAAAAGACAACCCAAUUUAAAAAUGGCCAAAGGACUCGAAUUGAUAUUUUUCCAAGAAGAUACGCAAAUGACCAACACACACUUGAAAAGAUGCCCAGAGCUGGACAUGGUGGUAUGUUCCUGUGGUCCCAGUUACUCAGGAGCUGAGGCAGGAGGAUCACUUGAGCCUAGGAGUUCAAGCCUGGAGUAAACUAUGAUCUCACCACUACAUUCCAGCCUGAGCAACACACGGAGACCUG
rnacentral:lncRNA from 1 species